CUUGGAAGGCUUCUGAGCAGGGAAUAACACAGUAUAAUUUGUGUUGUAGAAAGCUGACUUUGUCUGGGUAUGAUGGAUUGACCAGAAAGAGGAAGCGAGAGGGAGAAGAAAAUCACAUGUGAUCAAAACCACAAAUGGUUUCUUCAGGCCACAGGGACAGGUGAGGCCCCUGGGGCUGAAGAGCCAAAGUAACAUGAAUCAACUUAAGACAAGGAAACUAAAAUCAUCCUGGAAGAACAGGAAGGACUUCCAAGAAGAGAAUAAAGUUAACACUGGAUUUCCAAAGAUCAGUGUGUACGUUUUGGGAGUGAUGUGGAGUUCAGAACGAAAGGAGUGAGUAGAGGCGCCGGCAAAGGAGCAGAGUAGGAAGAGUAACAGCAAAGUUAGAUUUUAUUUAGAUACGGAAAAACUUCUUUUGAAAGGGAUUUGAACAUAGGAAGAAAUUGGCAAGGAAGAUUUUGAAUUUUGUUUUAUAGAGGCCUUCAGUAAAAGAGAGUUUUAUUGAAUCAGGAUGAGACUGUACACGAAGGCUGGG
rnacentral:lncRNA from 1 species